CAGUCGCCGCGGUAAUACAGAGGGUGCGAGCGUUAAUCGGAUUUACUGGGCGUAAAGCGUGCGUAGGCGGCUUCUUAAGUCGGAUGUGAAAUCCCUGAGCUUAACUUAGGAAUUGCAUUCGAUACUGGGAAGCUAGAGUAUGGGAGAGGAUGGUAGAAUUCCAGGUGUAGCGGUGAAAUGCGUAGAGAUCUGGAGGAAUACCGAUGGCGAAGGCAGCCAUCUGGCCUAAUACUGACGCUGAGGUACGAAAGCAUGGGGAGCAAACAGGAUUAGAGACCCGGGUAGUCCCUGUCUCUUAUAC
rnacentral:rRNA from 1 species